rnacentral:rRNA from 1 species
GACGAACGCUGGCGGCGUGCUUAACACAUGCAAGUCGAACGAGACGAUUGAAAGCUUGCUUUCGAAAGUCGAGUGGCAAACGGGUGAGUAACGCGUAGACAACCUGCCUUUGAGAUGGGGACAACAGUUCGAAAGGACUGCUAAUACCGAAUGUUGUAUAUUUUCCACAUGGAAGAUAUAUUAAAGAUGGCCUCUAUUUAUAAGCUAUCGCUCAAAGAUGGGUCUGCGUCUGAUUAGCUGGUUGGUGGGGUAACGGCCUACCAAGGCGACGAUCAGUAGGCGGUCGGAGAGGAUGAACGGCCACAUUGGGACUGAGACACGGCCCAGACUCCUACGGGAGGCAGCAGUGGGGAACCUUCCACAAUGGACGAAAGUCUGAUGGAGCAACGCCGCGUGAGUGAAGAAGGGUUUCGGCUCGUAAAGCUCUGUUGUCGGGGACGAAUGUGCAGUAUUUGAAUAAAGUACUGCAAUGACGGUACCUGACGAGGAAGCCACGGCUAACUACGUGCCAGCAGCCGCCGUAA